UACGUAGGGUGCAAGCGUUGUCCGGAAUUAUUGGGCGUAAAGAGCUCGUAGGCGGUUCGUCGCGUCGGCUGUGAAAUCCCGAGGCUCAACCUCGGGUCUGCAGUCGAUACGGGCGGACUGGAGUUCGGCAGGGGAGACUGGAAUUCCUGGUGUAGCGGUGAAAUGCGCAGAUAUCAGGAGGAACACCGGUGGCGAAGGCGGGUCUCUGGGCCGAUACUGACGCUGAGGAGCGAAGGUCAGGGGAGCAAACGGG
rnacentral:rRNA from 1 species